CUUGGUCAUUUAGAGGAAGUAAAAGUCGUAACAAGGUUUCCGUAGGUGAACCUGCGGAAGGAUCAUUAUCGAGUUUUGACUGGGUUGUAGCUGGCCUUCCGAGGCAUGUGCACGCCCUACUCAUCCACUCUACACCUGUGCACUUACUGUGGGUAUCAGAUCGUGAAGCGUGCUCUUUUACCGGAGCUUGUGAAGCGUGUCUGUGCCUGCGUUUAUCACAAACACUAUAAAGUAUCAGAAUGUGUAUUACGAUGUAACGCAUCUAUAUACAACUUUCAGCAACGGAUCUCUUGGCUCUCGCAUCGAUGAAGAACGCAGCGAAAUGCGAUAAGUAAUGUGAAUUGCAGAAUUCAGUGAAUCAUCGAAUCUUUGAACGCACCUUGCGCUCCUUGGUAUUCCGAGGAGCAUGCCUGUUUGAGUGUCAUGAAAUCUUCAACCUAUAAGCUUUUGUGGUUUGUAGGCUUGGACUUGGAGGCUUGUCGGCCUUGAUCGGUCGGCUCCUCUUAAAUGCAUUAGCUUGAUUCCUUGCGGAUCGGCUCUCGGUGUGAUAAUAUCUACGCCGCGACCGUGAAGCGUUUGGCGAGCUUCUAACCGUCUCACUUGAGAGACAACUUUAUGACCUCUGACCUCAAAUCAGGUAGGACUACCCGCUGAACUUAAGCAUAUCAAUAAGCGGAGGA
rnacentral:rRNA from 1 species